rnacentral:SRP_RNA from 1 species
CUAUGCUUAGGUGGGGAGCUAGCGGUGCCCUGUACCUGCAAUCCGCUAUAGCAGGACCGAAAGGCCACCUGAGGCUUUGCCUUGUAGAAUAGGAGGGAGUAUGGGAACGAUGAUAGUCAGGAACUGUGCAAUGGGAAGGCUUCAAACCCCGCCAGGUCCGAAAGGAAGCAACGGUAAGAAGCUCUUCUCAUGUGCCGCAGGACUCCUGACUGGAGUUCACCGCUCCCUUACUAUCUGGAAGGCAUAAGUCGAGGGUGGAGGCAUAG